CAUCAACAGAGGCACACAAGAUUCAGCAAGUGCGUAUAGGUUAGGAUAUGAUGUGCUUUGGUAAAUAAUACCAAGGCAAACAUAUAUAUACCCAGAAUGAAGGAACUCUCAUUAAAAAACAUAUGCUGGAGUUCAUAGUGCAUACAAUAAAUAAUAAGAUAACGCAAUAAUGCACAAUUACUAGCUCACUCCAUAAGCAAGUUUGAUUUUGUAGGGGAAAAGGCCACCAUGGUAUUACCAAGAAAGUACAUUCGGAUAGUGGAUUAGAGGUUAGUGUGGCACUGUGGCUGAUAACUGGCUAUUGGCUAACUAACUCAAACUGCACGCUUAUUUGAGCCUUUUGAUUUUAUGCAUCUAAAUGUCUACAGGUUGAAAGAACAUAAUCCUACACUGAAAUGAUACCCAGAAUAUGUAUCACACUGCUAUAUUGAUCUUUGGAGCUCAUCUCAUGAUAGCAUAAAAGUAUACUGUUGAUGGACUAACCUUCUUCAAGUUCAAUGCCACAGAUAUAUGAAAAGGCAAAUUCUAUGCAACAGCAUAUGUCCUACAGUAACUACACUACUAGUAUGCCUGAAUAUUCAUCAACUCUUGUCAUCGUAUGAAAAUAAAGCCAACUACUGUAAAAUUCGUCUCAGUCCAAUUGCUUAAGACAGUGUUAGUGUCAGCUCAACCUGGAUACUUAUCUCUACUCCUAUAAAAUUCUGAGUUGGUGAUGAUGGUGUGUCUGCCAUCCAUCAUUUAGGAUCGUCGGAUCAGUAUCUAACGCACACAAAUCAGUCUGCUGCUCAUUUGCACAUAACCCCUCAACCACAUCUUUCUUGUUCAGGCUUCUCUCUCCCAACUCCUGGAACCAUCUGGAAACAAAUCGAAUCACCGAUGGACAUCACUUAAAUCGAUCUGGCAGCGGCGCGAGGCGGCUGCUGCUGGCGCCGUCCACCUCCUGCGCCUCUCAUGCUUCUCAGCCCCACCGCCCACCACCAUGACGCACCUCCACCUCAACGUCCUCUCUACCCUUUCCCGUCUCCUCCAACGCCGACCUCGGCAAGCACGCCGUCGAAGUCGUCCAUCUGCGGACGCCUCUCCUGCGUUCUCCUCUAACACCGCAGUUAGCACUCCCAUCACCGCCACCUCCCCGUGCUCCUCGUCAUCCCCUCCACUCCUCCCCAUCUCCUUUGUUCCCAGCCACCACAAGUACGCCGCCGGCGCCAUCAGUGCCACAACGCCUCUCCUACCUCCACCCUUUAUUGAUCCAGCAGCCGUACUUCCCACUCCCACCACCUCCACUUCCUCAUCGUCGUCUCCUCCGACACUGACCUCCGCAGGGUUGUGGCAGCAAGGGCGAGGUGCAUGAUAGUGACACAAAGAUGGGCGAGCACGGGGAAUGUAGGAACGUGCAAGGUGUUGUGCCGCAGUUACUGCUGCAAGGAUGACUAUGGCGGCAACUGUUUGCACAAUAACUAAUUCAUGGCAUAGGUGAGGAUGAUAUUUUUUAUUUAUCAGUAGUCAUAUUUGUCAGAUUAAGAUCCACAUGUAAUCAUUCCAGCACCUCGUAUCAUAAGAACUAGCCUAAAAUGAUUAUGCUUGAUCUUUUAAGCCAGUUGGUAUUUUUUUACAGAAAAUAUUUUUCACCAAGGAAGGUAAUUAUAAUAAGCAUCAGCGUCAGCAUGAUUUUUUUAAAGAUAAACUGAAGUAUGUUAAAAUAUAGUCAGGAGAUCCUGAUCUUACUAAGUGCAGAGUUCCCCAAGAAUAUAGUCAGAACAU